AGUCGAACGGUGAAGCAGGAGCUUGCUCUUGUGGAUCAGUGGCGAACGGGUGAGUAACACGUGAGCAACCUGCCCCGGACUCUGGGAUAAGCGCUGGAAACGGCGUCUAAUACUGGAUAUGAGACGUGACCGCAUGGUCAACGUUUGGAAAGAUUUUUCGGUCUGGGAUGGGCUCGCGGCCUAUCAGCUUGUUGGUGAGGUAAUGGCUCACCAAGGCGUCGACGGGUAGCCGGCCUGAGAGGGUGACCGGCCACACUGGGACUGAGACACGGCCCAGACUCCUACGGGAGGCAGCAGUGGGGAAUAUUGCACAAUGGGCGAAAGCCUGAUGCAGCAACGCCGCGUGAGGGAUGACGGCCUUCGGGUUGUAAACCUCUUUUAGCAGGGAAGAAGCGAGAGUGACGGUACCUGCAGAAAAAGCGCCGGCUAACUACGUGCCAGCAGCCGCGGUAAUACGUAGGGCGCAAGCGUUAUCCGGAAUUAUUGGGCGUAAAGAGCUCGUAGGCGGUCUGUCGCGUCUGCUGUGAAAUCUGGAGGCUCAACCUCCAGCCUGCAGUGGGUACGGGCAGACUAGAGUGCGGUAGGGGAGAUUGGAAUUCCUGGUGUAGCGGUGGAAUGCGCAGAUAUCAGGAGGAACACCGAUGGCGAAGGCAGAUCUCUGGGCCGUAACUGACGCUGAGGAGCGAAAGGGUGGGGAGCAAACAGGCUUAGAUACCCUGGUAGUCCAC
rnacentral:rRNA from 2 species